CUACCACUGGGCCAUGAAAGCCAGUUCAUCGCCAUGCAAUUGUAGGAUCCCAUCAGGUGCUGGAGAGGAAGGUCUGUGUGUGGCGGUCAAAGGACAGCUUGGGGGAGUUGACUCUCUCGCCCUAUUGUGUAGGUUACAGAGGUCAAAUUUGAGUCUUCAGGCUUGGCAGCAAGCACCCACUGACCCAUUUUGUUGGACCUAGAAUGCUUGGUUUUAAAAAUUGGUGUUGAGUUAUUUACUUGAGGGUCAUAAAAAGUCUCCGAAGAGCUAAGAGUGUAGCUCAGUGGUGCUUGCUUGGCAUGUACAAGGCCCUGAGUUCAAACCCUUCUACCAAAAAAAUAAAUUUAAAAAAGUCA